UACGUAGGGUGCAAGCGUUAAUCGGAAUUACUGGGCGUAAAGCGUGCGCAGGCGGUGAUGUAAGACAGGUGUGAAAUCCCCGGGCUUAACCUGGGAACUGCAUUUGUGACUGCAUCGCUGGAGUGCGGCAGAGGGGGAUAGAAUUCCACGUGUAGCAGUGAAAUGCGUAGAGAUGUGGAGGAAUACCGAUGGCGAAGGCAGCCCCCUGGGAUGAUACUGACGCUCAUGCACGAAAGCGUGGGGAGCAAACAGG
rnacentral:rRNA from 1 species